rnacentral:rRNA from 2 species
ACCGAGUUCUGACGGAGCAAUGCCCGCGUGAACGAUGAAGGCUCAGAGGUCGUAAGUCUCUCUUGUUAGGGAAGAACAAGUACCAGAGUAACUGCUGGUACCGUGACGGUACCUACCCAGAAAGCCAUCGGCUACUACGUGCCAGCAGUCGCGGUAAUACGUAGGUGGCAAGCGUAGUCCGUAAUUAUUGGGCGUAAAGCGCUCGCAGGCGGUUCCUUAAGUCUGAUGUGAAAGCCGACGGCUCAACCGUGGAGGGUCAUUGGAAACUGGGGAACUUGAGUGCAGAAGAGGAGAGUGGAAUUCCACGUGUAGCGGUGAAAUGCGUAGAGAUGUGGAGGAACACCAGUGGCGAAGGCGACUCUCUGGUUCUGUAACUGACGCUGAGGUAGCGAAAGCGUGGGGUAGCGAACAGGAUUAGAUACCCUGGUAGUCCACGCCUGUAAACGAUGAGUGCUAAGUGUUAGAGGGCUUUCCGCCCCUUUAGUGCUGCAGCUAAACGCAUUAAGCCACUCCGCCUGUGGGGAGUACGGCUCGCAAAGACUGAAAUCUCAAAGGAAGCUUGACGGGGGACCCCGCACAAGGACGGUGGAGCGCAUGUGGCGUUUAAUUCCCGAAGCAACGCCCGAAGAACCUUAACCAGGGGUCUUGACAUCCGGUUCGCUACUUACUAGAUGGAUAGAACGGGUUCCCCUUCGGGGGACGAAGUGACAGGUGGUGCAUGGUUGUCGUCAGCUCGUGUCGUGAGAUGUUGGGUUAAGUCCCGCAACGAGCGCAACCCUUGAUCUUAGUUGCCAGCAUUCAGUUGGGCACUCUAAGGUGACUGCCGGUGACAAACCGGAGGAAGGUGGGGAUGACGUCAAAUCAUCAUGCCCCUUAUGACCUGGGCUACACACGUGCUACAAUGGAUGGUACAAAGGGCUGCAAGACCGCGAGGUCAAGCCAAUCCCAUAAAACCAUUCUCAGUUCGGAUUGCAGGCUGCAACUCGCCUGCAUGA